rnacentral:rRNA from 1 species
CCUAGGUGGACGGGGUGAAUAUCCCAAGGCGCGUGAGAGAACCCUGGUUAAGGAACUCGGCAAAUUGACACCGUAACUUCGGGAGAAGGUGUGCCGCUGGCGGUUAGUGACUUCGCGUCACGAAGCUGUUGGUGGUCGCAGUGAAAUGGCGGUUGUGACUGUUUACUAAAAACACAGGACUCUGCGAAGUCGUAAGACGACGUAUAGGGUCUGAUGCCUGCCCGGUGCUGGAAGGUUAAGGGGAUAUGUCAGCGCAAGCGAAGCAUUGAACCGAAGCCCCAGUAAACGGCGGCCGUAACUAUAACGGUCCUAAGGUAGCGAAAUUCCUUGUCGGGUAAGUUCCGACCUGCACGAAGGGCAUAACAACAUCCGCACUGUCUCGACCAGGGACUCAGCGAAAUUACAUUGGGGGUGAAGAUGCCCUCUACCCGCGGAAAGACGGAAAGACCCCAUGAACCUUUACUGCAACUUGGCAGUGAUUUUCGGGUUGUUCUGCGUAGGAUAGGUGGGAGGCUUUGAAGCCGGGCUUCCGGGUUCGGCAGAGCCAACGUUGAAAUACCACCCUGAAUAAUCUGGAAAUCUAACCUGCGCCCAUGAUCUGGGCGAGGGACACUGCCUGGUGGGCAGUUUGACUGGGGCGGUCGCCUCCUAAAUUGUAACGGAGGCGUGCGACGGUUCCCUCAGGCUGAUUGGAAACCAGCCGUAGAGUGCAAACGCAUAAGGGAGCUUUACUGCGAGACUGACAAGUCGACCAGUUGCGAAAGCAGGUGUUAGUGAUCCGGUGGUACCACAUGGAAGGGCCAUCGCUCAUCGGAUAAAAGCUACUCUGGGGAUAACAGGCUGAUCGCGCCUGAGAGUUCACAUCGGCGGCGCGGUUUGGCACCUCGAUGUCGGCUCAUCGCAUCCUGGGGCUGGAGCAGGUCCCAAGGGUUUGGCUGUUCGCCAAUUAAAGCGGUACGCGAGCUGGGUUUAAAACGUCGUGAGACAGUUUGGUCCCUAUCUUCCGUGGGCGCAGGACACUUGAGAGGAGCUAUCCAUAGUACGAGAGGACCUGGAUGGACGAACCUCUGGUGCUCCGGUUGUCACGCCAGUGGCAUAGCCGGGUAGCCAUGUUCGGAACAGAUAACCGCUGAAGGCAUAUAAGCGGGAAGCUGGCCUCAAGACUAGGUGUCCCUGACGCAAGUCACUAAAGGCCCCUCGAAGACUACGAGGUUGAUAGGCUCGGUGUGGAAGCACAGCGAUGUGCGGAGCUAACGAGUACUAAUAGGCCGUGCGGCUUGACCCC